rnacentral:rRNA from 1 species
CGUGUAGGCGGUUUGUUAAGUCUGAUGUGAAAGCCCCGGGCUCAACCUGGGAAGUGCAUUGGAAACUGGCAGACUUGAAUACGGGAGAGGGCAGUGGAAUUCCUGGUGUAGGAGUGAAAUCCGUAGAUAUCAGGAGGAACACCGGUGGCGAAGGCGGCUGCCUGGACCGAUAUUGACGCUGAGACGCGAAAGCGUGGGUAGCAAACA